rnacentral:sRNA from 1 species
AUUCCAUCUAGUUGGCGUGGGGUUUGCCGUACACGUAUACAGCUAGCAAUUCGGUUUUUCGAACCCCAUUCGUUACUUGGGACAGCUUAAAUCCGUUUUUCCAAUAUGUAGCUACAUUCCGUAAGGAACAUCAAGAACUUAAAAAUCAAAGUGUAAUCGCACAAAGAGCUAGGGAUUCUUGGAAUCUUUUAACUACACAAGAGAAAAAUAUCUACCGCGAACAGGCGCGCGAUGAACAAAAUCGGCGUCGGAGAGUGGCAGUAAUGCCAGCGAUGCCGUGCCAACAAUGCCGUUAUUACAAAUUAGCAUUUUUUGCAGUGAUAUCGUUUGGUUUUCUUUUUUUGGUUUGGAAAUUAUCAUCCUAUGUAUUCCCAAUCGAAAACCGGGGAAAACCGAUAAUGGCAGUAAUGCCGGGCCAACGAUGCCGUUAUACCAAAUUAGCAUUUUCUGCACUGCUUUUGUUUGGUGUUGUUUUUUUGGUUUGGAAAUUAUCAUCCUAUGUCUUUUAAGUGAACAAAAUAAUCAGUUUUUUGUCAGAACAUUGCAAAUUUUGAAGUUAUCCCCACAAAAUAUGCGAAA